rnacentral:rRNA from 2 species
UCUAGCAUGUGCGCGAGUCAUUGGGACUUUUUUUCAGGAAAGCCCAGAGGCGCAAUGAAAGUGAAGAUCGGCCUUUUCGGCUUGAUCGAGGGAGGAUGGCUCAUUGUUAUUUUUUAUGAUGACGGGCUCGCACUCCCGGGGCGUCUCGCGCUCAUUUCGAGCGGAGGCGCACCCAGAGCGUACACGCUGGGACCCGAAAGAUGGUGAACUAUGCCUGGUCAGGACGAAGUCAGGGGAAACCCUGAUGGAGGUCCGUAGCGAUUCUGACGUGCAAAUCGAUCGUCGGAACUGGGUAUAGGGGCGAAAGACUAAUCGAACCAUC